UACGGAGGAUGCGAGCGUUAUCCGGAUUUAUUGGGUUUAAAGGGUGCGUAGGCGGACUGUCAAGUCAGCGGUAAAAUUGAGAGGCUCAACCUCUUCCCGCCGUUGAAACUGGUGGUCUUGAGUGGAUGAGAAGUACGCGGAAUGCGUGGUGUAGCGGUGAAAUGCAUAGAUAACACGCAGAACUCCGAUUGCGAAGGCAGCGUACCGGCAUCCAACUGACGCUGAGGCACGAAAGCGUGGGGAUCAAAUAGG
rnacentral:rRNA from 1 species